GUUGGUUUGGUGUGAUAGCAUGCUAAUUUUUCGUGUUAGCGGUGGUCUGUUAGGGGUUAACCAGCA
rnacentral:tRNA from 1 species